GGACGAACGCUGGCGGCGUGCCUAAUACAUGCAAGUAGAACGCUGAAGAGAGGAGCUUGCUCUUCUUGGAUGAGUUGCGAACGGGUGAGUAACGCGUAGGUAACCUGCCUUGUAGCGGGGGAUAACUAUUGGAAACGAUAGCUAAUACCGCAUAACAAUGGAUGACACAUGUCAUUUAUUUGAAAGGGGCAAUUGCUCCACUACAAGAUGGACCUGCGUUGUAUUAGCUAGUAGGUGAGGUAAUGGCUCACCUAGGCGACGAUACAUAGCCGACCUGAGAGGGUGAUCGGCCACACUGGGACUGAGACACGGCCCAGACUCCUACGGGAGGCAGCAGUAGGGAAUCUUCGGCAAUGGGGGCAACCCUGACCGAGCAACGCCGCGUGAGUGAAGAAGGUUUUCGGAUCGUAAAGCUCUGUUGUAAGUCAAGAACGGGUGUGAGAGUGGAAAGUUCACACUGUGACGGUAGCUUACCAGAAAGGGACGGCUAACUACGUGCCAGCAGCCGCGGUAAUACGUAGGUCCCGAGCGUUGUCCGGAUUUAUUGGGCGUAAAGCGAGCGCAGGCGGUUUGAUAAGUCUGAAGUUAAAGGCUGUGGCUCAACCAUAGUUCGCUUUGGAAACUGUCAAACUUGAGUGCAGAAGGGGAGAGUGGAAUUCCAUGUGUAGCGGUGAAAUGCGUAGAUAUAUGGAGGAACACCGGUGGCGAAAGCGGCUCUCUGGUCUGUAACUGACGCUGAGGCUCGAAAGCGUGGGGAGCGAACAGGAUUAGAUACCCUGGUAGUCCACGCCGUAAACGAUGAGUGCUAGGUGUUGGAUCCUUUCCGGGAUUCAGUGCCGCAGCUAACGCAUUAAGCACUCCGCCUGGGGAGUACGACCGCAAGGUUGAAACUCAAAGGAAUUGACGGGGGCCCGCACAAGCGGUGGAGCAUGUGGUUUAAUUCGAAGCAACGCGAAGAACCUUACCAGGUCUUGACAUCCCGAUGCUAUUUCUAGAGAUAGAAAGUUACUUCGGUACAUCGGUGACAGGUGGUGCAUGGUUGUCGUCAGCUCGUGUCGUGAGAUGUUGGGUUAAGUCCCGCAACGAGCGCAACCCCUAUUGUUAGUUGCCAUCAUUCAGUUGGGCACUCUAGCGAGACUGCCGGUAAUAAACCGGAGGAAGGUGGGGAUGACGUCAAAUCAUCAUGCCCCUUAUGACCUGGGCUACACACGUGCUACAAUGGUUGGUACAACGAGUUGCGAGUCGGUGACGGCGAGCUAAUCUCUUAAAGCCAAUCUCAGUUCGGAUUGUAGGCUGCAACUCGCCUACAUGAAGUCGGAAUCGCUAGUAAUCGCGGAUCAGCACGCCGCGGUGAAUACGUUCCCGGGCCUUGUACACACCGCCCGUCACACCACGAGAGUUUGUAACACCCGAAGUCGGUGAGGUAACCUUUUGGAGCCAGCCGCCUAAGGUGGGACAGAUGAUUGGGGUGAAGUC
rnacentral:rRNA from 1 species